GUCCGCGAGGUCUAAUGGAUAAGGCGUCUGACUUCGAAUCAGAAGAUUGCAGGUCCGAGUCCUGUCGUGGACG
rnacentral:tRNA from 13 species